rnacentral:rRNA from 1 species
GAUGAACGCUGGCGGCGUGCCUAAUACAUGCAAGUCGAGCGAACGGACGAGAAGCUUGCUUCUCUGAUGUUAGCGGCGGACGGGUGAGUAACACGUGGAUAACCUACCUAUAAGACUGGGAUAACUUCGGGAAACCGGAGCUAAUACCGGAUAAUAUUUUGAACCGCAUGGUUCAAAAGUGAAAGACGGUCUUGCCGUCACUUAUAGAUGGAUCCGCGCUGCAUUAGCUAGUUGGUAAGGUAACGGCUUACCAAGGCAACGAUGCAUAGCCGACCUGAGAGGGUGAUCGGCCACACGGGAACUGAGACACGGUCCAGACUCCUACGGGAGGCAGCAGUAGGGAAUCUUCCGCAAGGGGCGAAGGCCUGACGGAGCAACGCCGCGUGAGUGAGGAAGGUCUUCGGAUCGUAAAACUCUGUUAUUAGGGAAGAACAUAUGUGUAUGUAACUGUGCACAUCUUGACGGUACCUAAGCAGAAAGCCACGGCUAACUACGG